GACGAACGCUGGCGGCGUGCUUAACACAUGCAAGUCGAACGGAAAGGCCCUGCUUUUGUGGGGUGCUCGAGUGGCGAACGGGUGAGUAACACGUGAGUAACCUGCCCUUGACUUUGGGAUAACUUCAGGAAACUGGGGCUAAUACCGGAUAGGAGCUCCUGCUGCAUGGUGGGGGUUGGAAAGUUUCGGCGGUUGGGGAUGGACUCGCGGCUUAUCAGCUUGUUGGUGGGGUAGUGGCUUACCAAGGCUUGGCCGGGUAGCCGGCCUGAGAGGAUGACCGGCCACAUUGGGACUGGAAUACGGCCCAGACUCCUACGGGAGGCAGCAGUGGGGAAUAUUGCACAAUGGGCGGAAGCCUGAUGCAGCAACGCCGCGUGCGGGAUGACGGCCUUCGGGUUGUAAACCGCUUUCGCCUGUGACGAAGCGUGAGUGACGGUAAUGGGUAAAGAAGCACCGGCUAACUACGUG
rnacentral:rRNA from 1 species